GUGAUGGAGCGGAUUUUUACCGUUUCUCCGCCGUGAGUUCGACUGAAGCGGAACGGUGUCAGGUCGAACUACAUCAC
rnacentral:ncRNA from 1 species